GAGCGCGUAGCUCAGGGGGAGAGCGCUUGCCUGACACGCAAGAGGUCGCAGGUUCAAAUCCCGCCGUGCUCACCA
rnacentral:tRNA from 1 species